UUGUUAUGAAACCACCUGAACACAGAAGGCUACAUGGGACCAUGCGAAUUAACUGGAUACACAAUUAUAGCAGAACAUAUCAGAUGUGUCAGAAACCUACUAUUACAGGGAUCACUACAAAGUACAAUUAACAUCAACUAAAUGCAACAUUACUUGCUGCAUCAAAGGCCUACCCUACCAAGGUACAUGUAUAAAUCAGAUCCAACAUCAACAUUAAUAUUACAGUCAUCCAAACGAACCCAAGAAGGGGCAGAAGAGGCCAUGGACAGUAAAGGGA